GACGAACGCUGGCGGCGUGCCUAAUACAUGCAAGUCGAACGCUUCUUUUUCCACCGGAGCUUGCUCCACCGGAAAAAGAGGAGUGGCGAACGGGUGAGUAACACGUGGGUAACCUGCCCAUCAGAAGGGGAUAACACUUGGAAACAGGUGCUAAUACCGUAUAACAAUCGAAACCGCAUGGUUUUGAUUUGAAAGGCGCUUUCGGGUGUCGCUGAUGGAUGGACCCGCGGUGCAUUAGCUAGUUGGUGAGGUAACGGCUCACCAAGGCCAAGAUGCAUAGCCGACCUGAGAGGGUGAUCGGCCACAUUGGGACUGAGACACGGCCUAAACUCCUACGGGAGGCAGCAGUAGGGAAUCUUCGGCAAUGGACGAAAGUCUGACCGAGCAACGCCGCGUGAGUGAAGAAGGUUUUCGGAUCGUAAAACUCUGUUGUUAGAGAAGAACAAGGAUGAGAGUAACUGUUCAUCCCUUGACGGUAUCUAACCAGAAAGCCACGGCUAACUACGUGCCAGCAGCCGCGGUAA
rnacentral:rRNA from 1 species